UCCGAAUUGGUGUAGUGGCUAACAUUUGACGCUCUCAAAAGGUUCCUGACCUUGAAGGUACCGUCAAGCCCGGGGUUCGAUUCCCCGAUUCGGAG